ACCCACACUUGAAACUAAUUCGUCCCCACCCCAAUCCUUCUGAGAAUGAGGGAUUCGAACACUCCACCUCCCCCUUCUAUGUUGAAAGGGUGGCCAUUGGGGCACUGGUAGCUAAUCACCCCAAACCCAACGCUUCACCUGUCAUCCUGCGAUACAAAAAGGGCAGUGGCAAGAAGUCAGAGUCACCAAGGAAAAUACCGAUCGAACAGAACGUUGAAAGGGCUGAAGCAUCCUCCAGAUUCCCAAAAGUGGAAGUUCCACAUUUUGGUUCCCAAAAUGUGGGCAGAGAUGAGUCCAGUGAUGAUGAGAGCACCGUGUUAAUCAGUAUGAGAUAAGGUGCCGGUCAAAGGAUGUCUAGCCCGUAUAUCCUAGCUCAAGCACGUCGGAAGAUUCUACUCCGGAAGCCAGCCCACCUGGAUGUAUUAGGGCGAAAUCAAAGGAUGUUCAACUACAAAGCAUAUCCAGUGAAUCAACUCUGGAAGCCAGCCUGCAUAGAUAUAUCAGGGCGAAAUCAAAGGAUGUCCGACUACAAAGCACAUCCGAUGAUUCAACUCCAGAAGGUAGCCCACCUAGAGCUUGGGGACUAGCACGGAGUCACUUUCGAUAUCCUUAAUUUGAAAGUCGAGGGUUAAGAGCAUAAAACAGCUAUAGUUUAGGUAAAAUCAUAUAAGUGAAAAAUCUUAAGAAGGCAUCAAUAUGCAAGAGCUUACAAGUAGGCCCCUGUACAAAGAUACAGAGGCUGAAGAAGUUCCGGAUGUCCUGGAGCUUUUAGUUAUCUGCCCUUGUAUAGGCCUAGAUUUUUUUUCUUGCUUUUGUACAUUUGUGUUGAUUAUAGUCCUUAGGAACAACACAAAAAUGCAGGUUUGUAAUGAGCCAUGGCUCGUAAUAAACAUUGUCUAAAAUGGAAUUUCAUUCGUUUAUUCCGUCA